AAAUUGCAGAAAAUCGGUUGAAAUAGGGAUCGGAUUCAAAUUGGGCGAUUCACCCGUUCUCAUUCCAAUUUUCAAACCAUGGAUGAACCACAGUUGAUCAACCAAAGCACUAGGUAUAUAAAGGGAUCGGUGACAUCGGUCUGGUAACUCUGAUCCUGUUUGAUACAGUUGCAGAUUUUCUAAUCUGACAAUCUGAACUCAGUAGAGAAUACCAAUCCACCUAGAACCAAAUCCUGAACUCAGUUAUCAAAUUCUUAGAACCAGCUUGAUACCCAUCCCGUACCAUUCCGAGGAGUGAGCUGAGCUCGAACGAAGUACACCGCCGACUCCACCAGCGAGCGGAAUAGAAACCCUACACCAACCCAUCUCUCCUUCAUUCUCCAGCAAAUUUGUUGCGGUAGGUGCCAGUCAGUAGCAUCCUCACCGGAAGGAUUACCAUAGAUUGUUGCAUUAUUUUCGAAUUUAUCAAGAUUGUCUUCCAAUGACUCAAUCAUAGAUGGGUUCACUACUUCCAUAGAUUUCAAGCUCUCAUCACUGAAAAAUUAAGCAUGCCACGGCUUUGACACCUGCAACGAGGAGUCACUGGUAAUGGGUUUUGUUGAUAAAAGGAAUUACAGCAACUCAGAACCGAGGAACAGGGGACCAUGACCAAUGCUAGUUGCAGGGCACCAUCCUCCUCUCUGCUGAGCCAAUCUAGUCUUGCAGUAGGAGUGAACUUGAUUUAUUUUUCUUAGUAUAAAAAUCAAAGCGAGAAGGAGAGAGAUAUAAAGAGAAAUAGGAGGGCUGAGGGUUACGGUUCUUGUUAAUCUUUGUAAAAAUGGUGACUUCAAGGACUCAAACUCUUCACCUAUAUCACUCUUUGAUAAACCAAGUAAUGGCUGCUAUGGUUCAAAACAGACCCUUCAAUGCUCAACUUGCUGCUACCAUUGUUGCACCCACCUGCAGUCUAUGGUCUGUCGACUUGGUGUGUGGAGUCUUGAGAUCCAUGCCCAGAUACUUCUUCCAGUCUGCUCAUUCCAUUGGCUCCCAAAAAGGUUUCCGACAUCGGGCACCUCUCAGACAAAGAAACCUUCGACGGGAAUCUGAUGGUUUUCGUGAUGGUUUGCUUGUUCUUGGACCAGCAGCUUACAGAGACCCUGAGAAGGUCAAUUUAGGACUAGACAAAGCGUUAGAGUUCUACUUUUGGGUGGAGAACCAUUUUGGCUUCACACAUGAUGAGGUUACCUGUAAAGAGAUGGCUUGUGUAUUGGCUAAGGGAAAUAGAUUGAAAGCACUUUGGGAAUUUCUCAAAGAAAUGUCCAGUAGGGCCAACAAGGGGCUUGUGACUACUGCCACUGUUACCUAUUUGAUUAAAGUCCUUGGAGAAGAGGGAUUAGCUAAUGAGGCAUUGGCUAUGUUUUAUCGUAUGAAGCAGUUUCAUUGUAAGCCGGAUGUUUAUGCAUAUAAUACUGUUAUUUGUGCUCUUUGCAGAGUUGGUAAUUUUAAGAAGGCGAGGUUUUUAUUGGAGCAGAUGCAAUUGCCAUGUUUUCAUUGCCCACCUGAUACAUUUACAUAUACAAUUCUCAUUAGUUUUUAUUGCAAGCAUAGCUUGCAGACCGGGUGCCGAAAGGCUAUAAGGAGGAGGUUGUGGGAGGCCAACCACAUGUUUCGGGUUAUGCUCUUGAAGGGCUUCGUUCCAGAUGUUGUUACUUAUAACUGCUUGAUUGAUGGAUGUUGUAAGACUUACCGGAUUGGCAGGGCGUUGGAGUUGUUCGAUCAUAUGAUUCAGAAGGGUUUGAUUCCCAACUGGAUCACUUAUAAUUCUUUUAUCAGGUAUUAUAGUGCCAUUAAUGAGAUUGACAAGUCUAUCGAGAUGAUGCGUAGGAUGAAGAUGAUGAACCAUGGGACACCCACUACGAGUUCUUACACCCCAAUCAUCCAUGCAUUGUCUGAAGCAGGAAGGGCACUUGAGGCACGGAAUUUUCUUGUUGAAUUGGUUGAAGGAGGGUCAGUUCCUAGAGAAUAUACAUAUAAAUUAGUUUGUGAUGCACUAAGUUCAGCAGGUGAGGCUGGCUUGCCAGACGAAAUUCGGAGGAGGAUUGAAGAUGGGAUCUGCCAUAGAUAUAGGCAGGUGAUGAAGGUGAAACCAAUAAUGGCACAUUAGAUUUCUACCUUAUAGGGGAAAUCCGGUACUUCUGUGUGCUGUCUACACCCAAUAACAGUCUUGGCAAUCAUUCCCAAUCCACCUUAUCCUCUGAAUGUUGACUAUGAUCACUAUAUAAACAACAAGAAGGCACUUAGAGAAGACAUGUGCUUCAUGAAGGAUCUGAUAUCUGGAAAGAAAGUAUGCCAUGUGCAGUUUUAUCUAUGAUUUGAUGGGAUUGAUCCCCAUGACAGAUAUUCAAAUCGGAAUGUUGUACCAUUUGAUAUCAAUAUGAAAGGAUUAGAUGGGAUCCAGGGACCAAUCUAUGUUGAAACAGGAUGAGUUUUCAGAAGGCAAGCACUGUAUGAUUAUGAUGCUCCUGUAAAGAAGAAACCUCCUGGAAAGACAUGCAGGUGCUGGCCUAGAAUGGUGCUGCCAUUGUUGUGGUUCUAGCCUUCUAGGAAGAAGAACAGGAAAGUGAAGCCAAAGGAGAAGAAGAAAAUAAAGCACAGAGAAAAUUCAACACAGAUGCACUCAAACUUGAAAAUAUUGAAGAGGGGGAUUGAAGGUAAAUAGUCGCAUUUUCACAGCGCCAGCUUUUCAGCUGGUUCUUGGUCUGCUUAUGUGGAACGUAUAUAUUGGUCAUACUAGCUGAUGUCCCCAUGACAGGAAUAGAUGCUGAAAAAUCGUCCCUCAUGUCCCAAAAAAAGUUUGAGAAAAAAUUUGGGCAGUCUCCUGUGUUCAUAGCUUCCACACUUGUAGUAAAUUCUAGAAGAUGAAGAACCUUUAUGAGCCUUUUUAUGAAGAAAAUUUUAUUAGGCAUCA